UACGUAGGGUCCAAGCGUUGUCCGGAUUUAUUGGGCGUAAAGAGCUCGUAGGCGGUCUGUUGCGUCGGCUGUGAAAACCCGGGGCUCAACCCCGGGCCUGCAGCCGAUACGGGCAGACUAGAGUUCGGCAGGGGAGACUGGAAUUCCUGGUGUAGCGGUGAAAUGCGCAGAUAUCAGGAGGAACACCGGUGGCGAAGGCGGGUCUCUGGGCCGAAACUGACGUUGA
rnacentral:rRNA from 1 species